UUUGACUUUUCCAUUGAAAUCUCAUCUUCAAUUAUUGCUUACCUACUUUCAUCAAUUUUCUUAUCUGACUUCUCAAAUGAUGGAAGCCAAUCAUUUAUUAAUACCUGCCCUUUAGUUGCCGUAGAUAGGGGCUGCAGCUAAAUGGUUCCUUAGUUUUUCAGAUAUUUUUCCAUUGUAUGCACUCAUCCCUUUGCUUCUAGGUGACUCGAUUUCUCAGUUAAUGUCAACAUUGUACCAUCUGCAAGUUUUCAUGACUUUGACUCAUUGAUUUCAACGUUGUGUAAAUGUUUAUUUUUAACUCAGCUCAAUUUUCAGCCAUACUGUUUGGAGAUGGUGGACAUGAGUUCUAUACCACAUUUUAAUUUCUAUUGAACGAUUUCUGUCAAAGGUCGUUUGAUCUUCCUCCAAUCAGUUGAAGUAAUUUUCUUCAGAUCUCUUGAAAGUGAGGACGUUUGGGUAAAGAUGGAUUUUUAGAUUUGCUUUUUUAAGGAAGAAAUAUGCAAGUCUAAUAGCCAAGCUAAUGUAGUAGCUUUAGCCAUUGAAAGAGAUGAUUGUAGGGGGAGUUCAUUAGAGGUAUGUACUAUGUUAUAUAUCUCUCCAGCAGGUUCAAAGGUUGAUGAUUCUCCUAAUUGCUUAUGCUACAGUUCUUGUGUUGUCUGUUUCUGAAAUAUUGCUACUUGAAUGAAUUUUGGACUUGGAUAUUUUGGGAACCAAUACAAGAUAAGGUAUGAUGAUGCUAUUGCUGGACCUCUAGCUGCCCAAUCUCUUUCACAAGUUUUAGAUUUUAUGGGCCAUAGUACCAUACAGUCACAGUGGAUAUAUCCAAGCCUACUUGUAAACUUGAGAAACUGAUUUUGUGUUGUUGCUGCCCUUAAUAUUGCCACCAUGUCCUCUUGUUCUUUCAUAGCCAUGGUUGCUGAAGUGGCUGUUGUUUGAGAAUCCGUGGGAGUUGGUUUCUGUGCACUUCAAUGAGCGGCUAUGUCAUUGACAGAGUUGAACUGCAGUAAUCUAUUUCCAAAGGUGAUUAUAGUUGUACUGAAUUCCUGCAAUGUGAAUGACCCUCUUGAGUAUCUUUCGCCAAUAAUCGGUAAGUUCUCAAAUAAGAUAGCUAAUUGAAAUAAGUUUUCUAAUUAUUGUUCAUUAAGAGCCAUUUUAGUGGAGCCUUUUCAAGCUGUCUAAAGAGAGAACUUAUCAGUUCCAAAGGCAAAUUCACAAGCAGAAUUUGGAACUAAACUUGGACCUUUUUCUGGAAGUGCAAUGGUUUCUAGUGGAGAUUCUGUUCUACCAAACAAAAAUCCAUCAGAGCUUCUUUACAAUGAAGAAUAGUUUGUGCCAUUGGUUACCUUAACAUUGACAGAUCGCCCAGGUACGACUCCAUCGAAUGAAUUUGCUAACAAGAUUUGUUGGCACUGUCAUUGUCCUCGAGGAAGAAGGUCGUUUUUGGUUCAUUUCAAGUCUCUGAGUGCAGAUCAUUCUGUUCUGAUACAAAGAAAGAAACGGUAUAACAUAGAGGAAACGGUUUUGCUUGAAAGAUUUGACUCUCCUCUUGAGGGUAAGUACCAUUUAGAUUAAUUGAAAGGUCUAGUAAACUUUGAAAUACCAAUGAUGAGACACCAAUGUGCAUCAAACACUAGAGGAUUACAUCUUUUUUAGGCACUAACUUUAUGUCUGUAGAAGGAAAGCAUGAAAGAUAAGUUUUCUUUUUAUGAUUA